AGCAACUGGUGUUCAAGAUCUUGUCGACGGUGAUGUCUUCCCCCUCGGUGUCGCAGGUCUCACGGCUUCCUGUAAUCGAACAGCAACAAUCGCAAUGAAAAGAACGAACAGAUGUCUCAGAUCCACGUGUGCACACGGAAAACGAGAAACAUGAUAGAUGUGCGUAUGCGUAGUUCAUUACACAGAUGUAAAAAGUGAUUAGUUUCAAUCAGAUACUAAUAUACAUACAUUACAUCUAUUUUAAUUAUUAUUUCACAUAAGUGCAUAUCAAUAUAGAUAAUAUAAAAAAAUGGAAAUAUUUACAUUAAUUUAAGAGCGUAAAAUUAAAUUAAAAAUUGUAAGUAAGCACAAUAAAUGUGUUUGUGUGUGUGUGUGUGUGUGUGUUUUGUAAGAUAUAUUGCCAAGUUUAAAUUGAACGCGGUCAGAAUGGCACGUGCGGGUUGCGCGCGUGGCUAUGCAAGUCUUAGCCGAAUCCGUCCCGCGUGUGCCGCGAUGGAACGCAGCUGAAGAAGUGGGAUGGGCUUUCAUGGCCUCCGUGACGCGGAGGACAACAGAGAUUGUUGGUGGAUUAUCCACCAACAGAAGGAAGUUGUUAACUUUUAAAAGAGAAUCAAAGAAACUAAAAAAAGGAGUUUAAUUAAAAUGUAAAACAAACUAUAAUUUAUUUGUAUUUUGUAUGUAUAAUGAAAAUAAUGCGAUUUUGACUUUAUUUCUUAGUCAUUCAUCAGUAGCAAAUAAAUCGAAAUAUAGAUACAUAUACUUAAUCAAUUAAAGACAAGCUGUUGGGAAAGACAGACAAAAGGAAAGAAGAGAUAAAUUACAUCAAAAAUUGGACGCAUGAGUAAUACAGACAAUGUAAAUAAUAUAAAAAUAACGAAUGUGUCAUGCGGUUUAAAAUUGAAACAAUAUAAUAACUCCACUUUCCAUGGUAAGUUAUUAAAUAAAAUAAAGUUAAUUAAAAAUAAAAUAUAUCGUAACUAAUUCUGUAUUUAAAAGUGAGAAGAAUGAAGUCAGAAAGAUAAAACUUGAAGCGGUGUCAAAAUAUCUGUUGUAGACAAAAUAUUGUGUGCGUAACUCGUUUGAUUAAUUUGAAAUUGACAUAUAACUAUUCUUGAUAUAAAUUAUUGUUGAUAUAACUAAUUAUAUGUAACUAAUUAUACGCGUUAACAUAAAUAGCAGUCAUAAAUAAUAGUCAAUUAUAUAGAAUCAAGAGGACAAGAUUCAAAACUAUAAUAUACGUGUCAGAAAUAAUAUAUGCGUCCAACGGUUUUAAUAAACUUCCUGCUUUUAAUAUAGACAAAAAGCAAAUGAUGCUUGAAUGUCGGUUGAUCGAAAUAUAUUCUCGAUGACUAACAUGCGGCGUUAUGUUUAAGCAUUGUUGAAAGCACAUUGAGUAAACAAAAAUAUGAAUCAUCGAGACACUUAGUUCUUUUAUUAAUCCUCUCCAUUACAUUUGUUUUUCAAUGUACAACUUCUCAGAAAGUAAUUUUUUUGUUAUAAUUUAAUUUCUACAUUUUCAGAAUCUUAAUAUUAUCCCAAUCAAACAGAUGAUUCAAUUCUACAAUAUGAUUAGUUAACACUGAGUGUCCAAUUUAAUAUUGUUAACAUGUGUUCUCCGUUUCUAGCUUUGAGCUGCUUUUCGUUUGCCCCAUUUACUUGACACUACUAUCCUUACGGAAAAAUCCUUUUGUAAGUUAGACCAUUUUUCGUAAACUUUUAUCUUCCGAGAAUUUGGAGCACAAGGGAUGCUUUUCUGUCCCGAAGAGAACAUAAAGAUGAAAAGGGUAGCUGAACUGAAGCUAAAUGAGUAGCGGAGGGAGAAAAGCUUUAUCUUUCAUUCUUCACGAGUGGGAGGAGGAAGAUAGAUAGGACCUCUCGUGCGUGUGUAUGUGCGUCAAGAGUGGACACACCGAUAUACUUAUACAUUUACAUAUUGACCAAGUGAAUCGCUGGUAAAUACCAGAGGCCCAUAGCCGAGAGUGUAUAUAAUUUGGUAUGUGUGCGUUUGUGUAUGCUUAACGACACGCCGCGAGGAACAGACCUCCUCGAGACACCGAGUGCUCGUUCGUUCUCCGAACUGAACGAGCCGCGUUUGGAAUGCCCGCUUUCACGAGGACCGACAGAUAGCCCACCACCUGGACUGCAGCAGCUCCCGCGGUGCCUCCGGGGCUCAACCCGCUGCGAUUAGGUAAAAGCCGGUGACUUUCUAUACUUUCAGCUCUUGACAUCACGUCGUGAAGCGAAUAGGCGAUUACAGCAAGAGAUAUAACGUUUUGUAUGUGUCUUUUUUUUGGAAUAUUUGGCGUUAUUUGUGUAAAAACGUUUAAUAAAUAUGAAAUAUUUCCUUUUUUCAAAAAAUACUUUAUGAAUAUGGCUCUCAUAAAUAAAAGUCGAUGAGACCUUUAGAAUUUAUAUUCCAUAAGAUUAUUUCUUCGUCGCAAUAAAAAACUUCAGUCAAUUAACAAUGUUAUAUGAAUUAAAAUUACAUGAAAAUAUAUAUUUCUAAUAUUUUCUUUCAACUUCUAAUUGACGGUAACAUUUAAAAGAUCUCCAGCAGAUGGUCCUUGAGCGACAAGAUGUGCAAAUAAAUCGUUUAAUGAUUGGGAGGUUGCAACAGACGUCUGACCAUGCAAGGUCAAGUGGUUUCUUCACCGCGGCGAUGUUUGAACCUUCCUGCGGUUCAUUGAUCUGAAGUGUAACCGAUGAUCGAUGAGGUAUUUAAAUAAGUGUGCUGUGUUUCGUAUCUAGGAAAUUUGGCGGAUGACAAACUCAAUUGACCCGCCAUAAGAUGGAUUAACAUUGUACUAGUAGGCAUCAGCCUUCUCUCUGCGUCGAUUAAGGCCUAGACGCAAACGUUGGUGAGCAUGUCAUGAAGAAAUAUUUUAUUUCCAGUUUACGAUUAUUAAUUUCGCGCAACAACUGUCGCCCGCUAUUCUUAAUCUUUCACGAGAUGUCGGACGAUGCAAAACACAAAUGUAUCGUUAUUACUCUUCCUCUGUAAAUGUCAAAGUUAUGUGAUCCUAGGCAUUUGGUAGAGUAUCUGUAGAUUCCCUUUCCUCUCGUAGAUCACGUUGAGCGUGACCCAUGUCAACGUAGAGCUCGCGAUGGCUGUUAAGUAACACGCAGAUCGAACGACGAAACGCGAUGAAAGAUCGAGCUGCAGGCAGCUGGGUCGGUUAUUGUACAACAUAUCGAAGUCGCUUAUCGGAGGACGGGAUCCAUCGUCUCCGCUCUGUCUCUCCCGCCGAGGUUUAACUCCCCGCGCGGCUGUUAGCGACCCAAGUAGAUACUACCUGGCCGCCUCGUUAGCUGUCUUCGUGGAAGUGCGCCCUUGCUUUCUCGUAACAAGAAACCGAAGAGAGAGAGAGAGAGAGAGAGGCUGGUCCUCGAACUCUUUCCCUCCAGCCCUCUCUCCAUUAAGUGCGAUUAUUAUCAUUCAAAAGCUAACGUUGCAUCUUGUUAGGUCUCGUUAUCUUUUUUUUUUUAAUCACUUUACUAUUGCAUAAUAAUUUUGUUAUUAUGUUAUAUAUGCCGGUGCAAAUCAAUCGCUAUCAAGCGAAAUCGAUAGAAUAACUUUGUGAAUUGCUUGUUUAGGAAAAUGUCAUUCGAACACGGAAGACAACGUCGAUCUCUUAACCCUCAUUCAAUCCACCCGUCUUACGUAUGCUAAUUCGUCCAAAAAAAAA
rnacentral:lncRNA from 1 species